rnacentral:rRNA from 1 species
AUUGAACGCUGGCGGCAGGCCUAACACAUGCAAGUCGAACGGUAGCACAGAGAGCUUGCUCUCGGGUGACGAGUGGCGGACGGGUGAGUAAUGUCUGGGAAACUGCCUGAUGGAGGGGGAUAACUACUGGAAACGGUAGCUAAUACCGCAUAACGUCGCAAGACCAAAGAGGGGGACCUUCGGGCCUCUUGCCAUCAGAUGUGCCCAGAUGGGAUUAGCUAGUAGGUGGGGUAACGGCUCACCUAGGCGACGAUCCCUAGCUGGUCUGAGAGGAUGACCAGCCACACUGGAACUGAGACACGGUCCAGACUCCUACGGGAGGCAGCAGUGGGGAAUAUUGCACAAUGGGCGCAAGCCUGAUGCAGCCAUGCCGCGUGUAUGAAGAAGGCCUUCGGGUUGUAAAGUACUUUCAGCGGGGAGGAAGGUGUUGUGGUUAAUAACCGCAGCAAUUGACGUACC